rnacentral:rRNA from 1 species
UACAGAGGUCUCAAGCGUUUGUUCGGAUUCAUUGGGCGUAAAGGGUGCGUAGGCGGCGCGGUAAGUCGGGUGUGAAAUCUCGGAGCUUAACUCCGAAACUGCAUUUCGAUACUGCCGUGCUUUGAGGACUGGAGAGGAGACUGGAAUUUACGGUGUAGCGGUGAAAUGCGUAGAUAUCAGGAGGAACACCGGUGGCGAAGGCGGGUCUCUGGGCCGUAACUGACGCUGAGGAGCGAAAGCAUGGGGGAGCGAACAGG